rnacentral:lncRNA from 1 species
GCUAUUGACUCCAUGCUACCGAUGGGGCCUGCGGUCAGACCCUUCUCACACGAGCUCCCAGUGUCAGAGCUUCAAGUGGAAGGGAUGGAAAGGCCAUUUUCAUCCAAGGCUGUACCUCUCUGAAGGAGCUAAGGAGAAGGAACCACAUCAACUCUGGAGGGCAGACUCUUGGGGGUAAGUACCGGCUUCACUACUUGCAGUGUGGGGACAUAAUUACCACGUGUGGUCACAAGCUGCCCUUUCGGUCUCCUUUUCCUGGGGCAAGUGACUCAAACCUCUAAGAGCUCAGCUAUUCCUAACACAGGCUCAUCAACAUGCCACCUCACUGGGCAGCUGUGAGGAUUAAGUGAGACGGCUUCCUAACAAUGAGGCAGUAGGCAAGUACUGGCGGCGGCUGUUCCAUGUCAUCCGCUUGGGUCUCCUGCUGCCUCAUUUACAGCAGAGGGCUACCCCAUCUGGUUUUGCAGAAGCCGAGUGUACAGAGGAACCGCAGUGUCUGAACGCAGGAACUGCAGCCCAGUGCACGGAGCUUCCCAGAGCUGGUGUGCUUCUGGCUCUCAGCCUCUGUCUCUGCUUCCUCGGUCACCACAAGACAGUGAUACACUGGGGCAGUCAAGUCUGCAAAGAGACUCCCACUUGGAGUGUGUAAGUGUUCCAGGCGUGAGCCUGUGCAAGGCCCCAUCCUCCCCGGCUCCUAUCCCCAACAAGGCAGGCAGACACAUUCAAUAAAGCAAUGGCAGAAAUGUCCAGGUUUUACAGGGGAAAAAAAAGAGUUGAUCCUUAAAUUCUAUUCCACCACUCAGUUUAGGGUUCUCCACUUACUAAUCUAGGAUAAACUGUGUUUUCUAGUAAUUACUAUUUGAAAAGCUCUAGAGAAGGGUGUUUCAAUAUAACAAGAAUGAGAAUAUCCUUUUUAUAUAUACUAAGACUUAGAAUAUUCUUUUUAAUCGUUUUUGUUGCCUAAUGAACACUUCGAAUUUUUUAACUCAGUAAGCUUACCUCUUUAUUGGAGAUAAGGAGAAAUCUAGCAGCUUUUGCUUCAAAAAGAACAACUGCUGGUUUAUUCUAAUUACACCUUAUCCUUUUGAUCUUGACCUUCAUUAUUAAUAAUAAAAUAGAGUUAUUUCCGACAGUCAUUAAAGUCCUUGCCAUUUGAACUGUGGAAAAGAAAUAUUAAACAAGGCAAGGCUGAAUACUUCAAACUCCGCUAACAACGGGACAAUGUCUGUUGCACAGCCAAUUUAAGUUGGCCAUAGAGACUCAUGGCAGAAAGUGAGGAAGAGCUGAGAAGCCUCCUGAUGAAAGUGAAAGAGGAGAGCAAAAAAGCUGGCUUAAAACUCAACAUU